rnacentral:tRNA from 1 species
GCCCGGGUGGUGGAACUGGUAGACACGCGUGUUUGGCAAGCACGUGCCCGAGAGGGCGUGCGGGUUCAAGUCCCGCUCCGGGCA